rnacentral:rRNA from 1 species
UACGUAGGGGGCAAGCGUUGUCCGGAUUUAUUGGGCGUAAAGAGCGUGUAGGCGGCCAGGUAGGUCCGUUGUGAAAACUUGGGGCUUAACCCUGAGCUUGCGGUCGAUACGGGCAUGACUGGAGUUCGGCAGGGGAGACUGGAAUUCCUGGUGUAGCGGUGAAAUGCGCAGAUAUCAGGAGGAACACCGGUGGCGAAGGCGGGUCUCUGGGCCGAUACUGACGCUGAGGAGCGAAAGCGUGGGGAGCGAACAGG